UACGUAGGGCGCAAGCGUUGUCCGGAAUUAUUGGGCGUAAAGGGCGUGUAGGCGGUUAGUUAAGUCUGGCGUGAAAGCUCUCGGCUAAACCGGGAGAGGUCGUUGGAUACUGGCUGACUAGAGGACGGUAGAGGCGUGUGGAAUUCCGGGUGUAGUGGUGAAAUGCGUAGAGAUCCGGAGGAACACCAGUGGCGAAGGCGACACGCUGGGCCGUACCUGACGCUAAAGCGCGACAGCAUGGGGAGCAAACGGG
rnacentral:rRNA from 1 species